rnacentral:rRNA from 1 species
AUUGAACGCUGGCGGCAGGCCUAACACAUGCAAGUCGAGCGGAUGAAGGGAGCUUGCUCCUGGAUUCAGCGGCGGACGGGUGGGUAAUGCCUAGGAAUCUGCCUGGUAGUGGGGGAUAACGUCCGGAAACGGGCGCUAAUACCGCAUACGUCCUGAGGGAGAAAGUGGGGGAUCUUCGGACCUCACGCUAUCAGAUGAGCCUAGGUCGGAUCAGCUAGUUGGUGGGGUAAAGGCCUACCAAGGCGACGAUCCGUAACUGGUCUGAGAGGAUGAUCAGUCACACUGGAACUGAGACACGGUCCAGACUCCUACGGGAGGCAGCAGUGGGGAAUAUUGGACAAUGGGCGAAAGCCUGAUCCAGCCAUGCCGCGUGUGUGAAGAAGGUCUUCGGAUUGUAAAGCACUUUAAGUUGGGAGGAAGGGCAGUAAGUUAAUACCUUGCUGUUUUGACGUUACCAACAGAAUAAGCACCGGCUAACUUCGUG